AGCCCCUGCCACAGCCCCUGCCCCUUCUCAACUCCCCGCCACAGCCUCUGCCAAAGCCCCUGCCACAGCCUCUGCCAAAGCCCCUGCCACAGCCCCUGCCCCUUCUCAAGCCCCCGCCACAGCCUCUGCCACAGCCCCUGCCACAGUCCCUGUCCCUUCUCAAGCCCCCGCCCCAGCUCCUUCCGCAGCCCCAGCCCUAUCCUCACCCCCUUACUCUUCCCAAGAAGUGGUUAAGUAGCAGAAUUCCCUAAGUUAGCCUGGUUGUUUUUUGUCAUUCGUUAAGGAAGUGAGUGGUCAGUGUUGUCAUAUAUUACUGAAAAAAAAAUUUAAGUUUUAAGAUUAAAAUGGAAGAAGGAAGAGCAGCCUCCCACUUCCUGCCUGAUUCUAGGAAUGUAGAUCAGAAACAGCUGACAUGCUGAUUUCUCCAGAACAACCAGUCCACUGAACUAAUUCUUUCAAUAAAUUUUAAAUCCUUGAAGAUUUUGAAUACUUUCUUCCAAAAAGCAUAUGCACCUUCGUCUCCACAGACCAACUGAAUUUCUACAAAGCAUGUGCUGUAUUGAAGCCUUUUUUCUCCAAGAGAUGUUGAGAUCUGUGGUGUCAAAAAGCUGUUUCCACAGCUGCACACCUGGGAGCUGCCCCUGGCUGUUCCCCUCAGUGGACCCGCCUGUUGUGCAAGUGGGAGUGAUUGCUGUUGGAAGCCAUCAGAUGAAGGAUCAAACAAAUAAGACCCACAUGCUGGGAUCACUUGGUGGCAACAGUUCAAGGCGUGGGUUGGAAGCAGUACCUGCUCUGGGCAAAUAUGUCACCUGGCUCAGCUUAAGUUUGGCCCAGUUUCUUCUGUGUUAGCAGAGGAUGCACUUGUACUCUUUAUUUUUGUUGUCCUCUCCUAUGUGGGGCAGGGGGUUAUUGCUGGUUGAACCAGACCGCUGAGAGGUACAGUUAGAAAUUAUUUUGGCAGUCCAAGUAGGAUCCAGCUGGGUUUGUACUCCAAAAAGCCUGACUGAUUUUGUCUCAGGUGAUCUGAAAACAGCUCCCACUUGCACUUGGUGACAGAGACAUAGAACUAAAAAUAUCAUAUAGUUCUUGUAUAGCAUAUAAGUAUGAGUAGUACAUGUGAGUGGAAGAAGAACAUGGUGGUUUUGGAAGAAUUGUUAAGAAUCAAGAUUCAUGUUUAGAGAAUAUUUAUUA